rnacentral:rRNA from 1 species
GGGGGCUCGUGAUAUCUUAUCUCGCCGCCCGUCGCGAGGCGGACGGAGGGAUGGAUGAGGUUACCUGGAAAAAAUCGGGGCGAUCUAGGCGGGCGAACCUCGCCAACGAACGAUCGGACAUGGGAUAACGGAAGAGGGCGUCGGCUCGACUUCGUCGGUUCCUCGGGCCGAGGCACGUACGGUGAAUAGGGACGGUCGGGGCCGCCCGUACCGGGUCGUGAGAGGUGAAAUUCUAGGAUCGACCCGAGACGAACUGCCGCGAAAGCAUUCGGCAAGGACGCUUUCAUUAAUCAAGAACGAAAGUCGGGGGGAUCGAAGACGAUCAGAUACCGUCGUAGUCCCGACCGUAAACGAUGCCGACCGAUGGCCCGGAGGAGUUACGUACGACCCCUCCGGGCCCUCCCGCGAGAAAUCAGGAGUAUUCGGGUUCCGGGGG